GGGGAUUUAGCUCAGCGGCAUAAGCGCCUGCCUUGCAAGCAGACCGUCGUGAGUUCAGUCCCCA
rnacentral:tRNA from 1 species